GCCUGGGUGGCUCAGGGGUUGAGCAUCUGCCUUCAGCUCAGGGCGUGAUCCUGGGUUCGAGUCCCACAUCGGGCU
rnacentral:tRNA from 1 species